rfam:Homo sapiens chromosome X, GRCh38 reference primary assembly.
GCCAGGCACAGUGGCUCACGCCUGUAAUCCCAGCAACACUUUGGGAGGCUGAGGCAGGAGCAUCACUUGAGCCCAGGAGAUUGAGGCUGCAGUGAGCUAUGAUUGUGCCACUGCACUGCAGCCUGGGCAACAGAGUGAGACCCUGCCUCAA